rnacentral:lncRNA from 1 species
UCCACCAAGAAGAUUAACAAAUUACAUAUCACUAAACACCCUCCAAACCUAGGUGUUAAUGGAAAUAAGGGAUCGCUUCCUAGAGCAAGAAGGAUGCGGAUCCACCCAAGUCAAUGUGAUUCAAAUAAAUAUUAUCUCUACCAGUGCGACCACAGCUACAAAAUGGAAGACUGCAUCCAACUUCAGGAUGAGAUUGAAAGCUUAUCUAGCAUAGACAUCUAGAUUGAUUCAUUAGACGUUAGCUUGAGUAGUAGGAAGAACAGCGGAGAUCACCACGACCAUCAGAGCAACAGCAAGGGAACCCAGAGAUCGAUUUGUAAACAGAAUAAUAAAUACCAUAACUAGGG